rnacentral:rRNA from 1 species
CAGUAGCGUAUAUUAAAGUUGUUGCAGUUAAAAAGCUCGUAGUUGGAUUUAUGAUGUGAUGCUCGUAAGCCCACAGUCGUCAAGACUGUGUAGUGCUGAAACAUCCAUCAUCCUUCUAGGGGAAAGGUUGGUUGGGCUGACUCGCUCCGCAAGGGGUUGGGUUGGUUCGGCUUUCCGCUAAUUUCCUUCUAGAUCUUUUACUUUGAAAAAAUUAGAGUGUUUAAAGCAGACUUGCGUUUGAAUACAUUAGCAUGGAAUGAUAAUAUAGGACUAUAAGCCUAUUUUGUUGGUUCAUGGGCAUUUAGUAAUGAUUGAUAGGGAUAGUUGGGGGUGCUAGUACUCAGCGGCCAGAGGUGAAAUUCGUGGAUUCGCUGAAGACUAACUUAUGCGAAAGCAUUCACCAAGGAUGUCUUCUUUAA